GACGAACGCUGGCGGCGUGCUUAACACAUGCAAGUCGAACGAUGAAGAAAAGAAUUGAAGCUUCGGCAGAAAUUCAUUUCGGAUUAGUGGCAGACGGGUGAGUAACGCGUGAGCAACCUACCUCUUACAAAGGGAUAGCCUCGGGAAACCGGGAUUAAUACCAUAUAACAUUGCGACGAAGCAUUUCGAUGCAAUCAAAGCUACGGCGGUAAGAGAUGGGCUCGCGUCCCAUUAACCAGAUGGGGAGGUAACGGCUCACCAUAGUAACGAUGGGUAACCGGGCUGAGAGGGUGAACGGUCACACUGGAACUGAGACACGGUCCAGACUCCUACGGGAGGCAGCAGUGGGGAAUAUUGCACAAUGGAGGGAACUCUGAUGCAGCGACGCCGCGUGAGUGAUGAAGGAAUUCGUUUCGUAAAACUCUGUUCUAUGGGAAGAAAAGGACUGUACCAUAGGAGAAAGCUCCGGCUAAAUACGUG
rnacentral:rRNA from 1 species